AGUUUUGAGAGUUCUUUUAAGUCCUUUAUCAGAUACACGCUUUGCAAAUAUUUUCUCCCUAAUGGUAACUUGACUUUUCAUUCUUUCAACGGUGUCUUUUGUAGUGCAAAAGUUUUUGAUUUGUACAAUUUUCUGUUAAGGAUUGUAUUAUUGGUAUCAUUGCUAAAAAUCCUUUGCCAAAUCAAAGGUCAUAAAGAUUUCAUAGUCUUAGGUUUCACAUUUAAAUCUAGGAUCCACUCUUCCCCCGAGUGGCCUGAGGUGAUGGUUCGCUACUCGCUGGACCCAGAAAACCCUACAAAAUCAUGCAAGUUGAGAGGUUGCACAGAAGAAAAAGAUAUCCCAGAAGAAACUGAAGAAACAAAAACUUAUGGCCCAGGAGUAAAUUCUGCAUGGAAUAAAUGCAAAUAAAAAUUUAAAAAUAAAAUAAAAAUCUAGGAUCCAUUUCGAUUUGAGUUUUUUGCAUAUGAUGAAUGAUAUAGAUUCACAUUCAUAUUUUUAAAAACAGAAAGCCAAUUAUUCUAGUACCUCUUGUUGAAAAGACAAUUUUUUCUACUGAAUUGACCUUACGUCAUCAAAAUCAUUUGUCCAUAUAUACAGAGGUUGAUUAUGAAGUUUUUGUUCUGUUUCCUUGCUCUAUUUGUCCUAUUUAAUACCAAUAAAACAUUUUAUUGAAUACUGCAGCUUUUAAGUCUUAAAAUCAGGUAGUAUUAUUUUACCUGUGAAGCCAUCUGGACCUUGAGUUUUCCCUUUAGGAAGAUUUUGGGUUUGGGGGGAAUUUUUUUUUUCUUUUUUAAUUUAUUUUUUUAUUGGUGUUCAAUUUACUAACAUACAGAAUAACACCCAGUGCCCGUCACCCAUUCACUCCCACCCCCCGCCCUCCUCCCCUUCUACCACCCCUAGUUCGUUUCCCAGAGUUAGCAGUCUUUACGUUCUGUCUCCCUUUCUGAUAUUUCCCACACAUUUCUUCUUAUUUGCUUUACUAAAACUACAAUUCCUUCAAUAGACACAGAAAUUUUCAGAUUAUCUCUUUUUUCUUGAGUGAAGUUUGUUAGUUUAUGUCUUUCAAAGAAUUUGAACUUUUACAUAAGUGUCAAAUGUGUUGACAUAAAGUUAUUCAUAAUACUCUCAUAUUAUCCUUUUAAUAUCUAUAGAAUCUGCAAUGAUCUUGCCUCUCAUUCCUGUUACUGAUUUGUGUUUUCUCUGUCCUACUCAAACAAAAUUUAAACCUAUUGCAUUUUUAUUUUCAUUCGGUUAAAAAUAUUUCUAUUUUACUUGUUUCUUCUUUGCCCAUUGGUUAUUUAGAAAUAUGUUAUUUUGUUUCCAAUAUUUGGGGGAUUUUUCUAGGAACCUUUCUGUUUUUAAUCCUAAUUUAGUUCUAUUGUGGUUGAGAAUACACUUUAAAUGACUUGAAUUCUCUUGCAUUUGUUGUGAAUUGUUUUAUGGUCUAGAAUAUGGUCUAUCUUUGUGCCCUUGAAAAGAAAAUAUAUUUUGAUGUUGUUCAGUGGAAUACCCUAUAACUAGGAUAUCUGUUGUAAUUCAAGUAGGAAGCUAACA
rnacentral:lncRNA from 1 species